rnacentral:rRNA from 1 species
UACGGGGGGAGCAAGCGUUGUUCGGAUUUACUGGGCGUAAAGGGCGCGUAGGCGGUCGUGACAAGUCACUUGUGAAAUCUCCGGGCUUAACUCGGAACGGUCAAGUGAUACUGUCGGACUAGAGUACAGAAGGGGCAACUGGAAUUCUCGGUGUAGCGGUGAAAUGCGUAGAUAUCGAGAGGAACACCUGCGGCGAAGGCGGGUUGCUGGGCUAGUACUGACGCUCAUGCACGAAAGCGUGGGGAGCAAACAGG